CCCUUAGAGUUUGAUCCUGGCUCAGGAUGAACGCUGGCGGCGUGCCUAAUACAUGCAAGUCGAACGAAUCUUCUUCGGAAGAUGAGUGGCGAACGGGUGAGUAAUACAUAGGUAACCUGCCCCUGCGCGGGGGAUAACAGGAGGAAACUCCUGCUAAUACCGCAUAGCCAUGAGCACCGCAUGGAGCUCAUGCCAAAUAUCCUUUCGGGGAUAGCGCAGGGAUGGACCUAUGGCGCAUUAGCUGGUUGGCGGGGCAACGGCCCACCAAGGCAACGAUGCGUAGCCGGCCUGAGAGGGCGGACGGCCACAUUGGGACUGAGACACGGCCCAGACUCCUACGGGAGGCAGCAGUAGGGAAUUUUCGGCAAUGGGGGAAACCCUGACCGAGCAACGCCGCGUGAGCGAAGAAGGCCUUCGGGUCGUAAAGCUCUGUUGUAAAGGAAGAACGGCGCAUACAGGAAAUGGUAUGCGAGUGACGGUACUUUACCAGAAAGCCACGGCUAACUACGUGCCAGCAGCCGCGGUAAUACGUAGGUGGCGAGCGUUAUCCGGAAUCAUUGGGCGUAAAGAGGGAGCAGGCGGCCGCAAGGGUCUGUGGUGAAAGACCGAAGCUAAACUUCGGUAAGCCAUGGAAACCGGGCGGCUAGAGUGCGGAAGAGGAUCGUGGAAUUCCAUGUGUAGCGGUGAAAUGCGUAGAUAUAUGGAGGAACACCAGUGGCGAAGGCGACGGUCUGGGCCGCAACUGACGCUCAUUCCCGAAAGCGUGGGGAGCAAAUAGGAUUAGAUACCCUAGUAGUCCACGCCGUAAACGAUGGUCACUAAGUGUCGGGGGUCAAACCCCGGUGCUGCAGUCAACGCAAUAAGUGACCCGCCUGAGUAGUACGUUCGCAAGAAUGAAACUCAAAGGAAUUGACGGAA
rnacentral:rRNA from 1 species